GUUGGAAGGGGCUCAGGUAGGAAAGGCGCUCUGAAGCGUUCAUUGGCUUUGUGGCAGAUCUGCUCUGUAAAGGACAUGCAUGUACACAGGAGGGAGAGAGCCAAUUACCCCUCCUCUUCGAUUGGGAGAAACCAUGUUCAAAGAGUAUUGACCACUGUCCUUGGCUAAACAUCAGUAAGAAUAAAUCCACAGGCCUUAGAGAUUUCAGCCCCAAGAUAUAAAUAAUCUUCCCUGUAUUCACCUUCUAUCUUCCCAGAGGAUUUGUUCCAUUUAUGUGACAUGUUUCAUCUUAGAAACUCCAAACACCUUGAUGACUCAUCAAAGGACAAGAAAAUCAUUGAUGCCUAUGUAAAAGUUAUUUCAGUUUCACUGGCAGCUUCAUUGGAGCCCAUCAGAAGAAAUCAUGAAAUUUGGAGAACAAGCUUAAGAAUUACCAAACGUUCAAGUUCAUCUAAUCCAGCCCCCUCAUUUCACUGAUAAAGAAACCAAGGAAGAGAAGGGUUAAAUGACUUGCUCAACAUCAUGAAUGAGUUCCCAAGAGAGCCAGGGCUGGGAGCCUAGUCUCCUGCUCCCUUCUACCACAUCAUGGUGCACAUCCCUAGGCAUGAAGGAGAAAACACACUCCAACAAUCACUGACAAAGACACAAUGACUACUGAUGAUACUUUAGGCACAUACACAAUAUUUCUUCAGAAUAUUUUUUCCUAUUGGGCAACAUCAUUCACUCCCAUAGUUGUCGUCAAUUACCUGUGUAAUUGGUGGCUUCAGUCACCAUCACCAGCCCUGACUUCUCCCAUGUAUACCAUUGCCCAUACUGUAGCUCUACAUGCAUAAUUCACAGACAACUCACAUUCUUACCAAAAGUGAGAUUUUUUGAAAUUUCCACCAAAUCUGUUAUUCCUAUUUUCCUAUUGUUUUUACUACAUAAUCACCAUUUGUCUAAAUCCUCACCAUUCUUUACCCUUCAUAU
rnacentral:lncRNA from 1 species